CACCGCGGUUAUACGAGAGGCCCAAGUUGAUAAGCAUCGGCGUAAGGAGUGGUUAAGACAAAUCAAAUACUAAAGCCGAAUACCCUCACAGCUGUCAUACGCAACACGAGGGUUAGAAGUUCAACUACGAAAGUGGCUUUACAAUAUCUGAACCCACGAAAGCUAUGGUA
rnacentral:rRNA from 1 species